rnacentral:lncRNA from 1 species
CCAAAAUAUCAAAACGUUGUAUUGUAGUAUGUGUCCUCCCUUUCUGCCAAAGAAAACAAAGUGUAGUUUAAUCAUUCUUUUCUAGAAACAGUAGUAUACAUUUUGUAUGAAUCUACAGUCCCAAAUAUGAACCACACUUAAUUUUCUUGGUUUAACUAUCUACCCCAUCAAACGUUUCGCUCCGUUUGAAGCUCAUUAGACUGCACAAAAACCAUAUCCUGCCGUACUACCCCAGUACUUCUUUGCAAGCCAACUAAAGUUUACCUCUCUUUUAUUGCUAACAAAUAGGUCAAUAGUUGCAAAUUUUAUUGAAGAAAUUUCUAAAUAGACGGGCGCAGCAACGCGCGCCAUCAAUGAUCUAGUAAUUACUAUUAUGGUUCUGUUAUGCUACGCCCUUGGGCAUGGGGAACACGAGUAGCUAGUGAUUGAAUCAUCUCUGAAGUGUGAAUUGCAAUGACCCUUGUUUGCCUCUUGAUUAUUAAUCCAGUAUAAUAUGCUACUGUUAAACCCUUGGGCUUAGAAAACCCCAAAAGUUAGUGAUUGAAUGAUCUAUGAACUGCAAUUGCUAGUGCCAUGUUUCUUGACUGUUGAUGAUCAUAAUAUGGUUCUGUUAGGUUUAGAGAACUCGAGAAAGUAUUAGUUGAAUGAUCUGUAAAUUGCAAUUGUCCUUUUCUUUGGUUCACAUAAAGAUUCUAAAGGCUCAUUUACAACUGUAUUUAAUAGUUGGUGGGAUUAUGUAUUCUGAAAUAUUGUUGAAAAUCAUCAUUCAUCUACUACUAGCCACUUAUAAUGAGGAACAUGGUGUAAAAGGUUGUGGUGAACUGUCUAAGAUUUAGUUGUGACGAGAUGUUGCUUUCCUUGUAUUACUGAGUGCCACUUAUUGAUUAACGAUAAUAACUCUUAAUUUGGUUUUGAGCUGUUGUUUCCCCUAGGUUUGCUUCAAUAUUGUCUGGAAGUGUAGACCGCUCACUGAGGAUGAAUUGUUUCCUGCCAUUGAAGAGAACUACUAUAUCUCAAAGAAGUUCUACUUCGACCUUUCCUACCAGCAGUGUGUGCGCAUGCUCAACAGGUAGGCAAGCUGCUUCCUAUAGUGACUGAUUGUGGCUCUGCUAGGUUUCUCUACACUGAUAGUGUGCAGUGAGAAGUAUGAUGGGCCAAACAAAUAGUUCUUGUUCACAGUGGUUCAAAUUUAAAUGUUUUAAUUAUAGCUUUUUGUCCCUGUAGUCGAUGUUAAGAAGCGCUUCCUUCAUGAGCUUAGUUUGAUUUGGCCCGGUUUUGAUGCCUCUGCAGUGUGUGCGCAUGCUCAACAAGUACAGUCGCAACAACUCAAUUUCUUCAGAUGUGGCAUAGGAAGUCAUGUCCUCAUGUGCUACUAUUUCUAGAGGUAGACUCCUAAUCAAAUAAAAGUUUGUUGUCUGAUUCAUGAUACAAUAUUUGUGCUUGGUGGAAUAAAUCUCCAAGAUGACUUAAUUCAUUUUGUUAGUUGAAUGGUACGACCAUAUGAAUAGCAUAUGCUUGUACCACAUAUAAUCUAGGCUGCCCGGAAGUGCAGUAAAAAAUAGGGAUAUGAUGAGCUGGGGUUAGAAGUUCACAGUGUUGAAUAGAGAAUCAGGCUUUUUUCUUGAAUUAUUUGAAGUAGAUCAUAUGUAAAACUUCAAAUAAUUUUUGAACCCACCAGAUAUUGCAGUGUGAACUACUACUUCAACUUGAAAAGCGUCAAUGAUCUUUUCAUAGUUGUUAAU